GACGAACGCUGGCGGCGUGCUUAACACAUGCAAGUCGAACGGUGAAGCGCCUUCCUUUUUGGUGGGUGUGGAUGAGUGGCGAACGGGUGAGUAACACGUGAGUAACCUGCCCCCCUCUUCUGGAUAACCGCAUGAAAGUGUGGCUAAUACGGGAUAUUCUGGGUCUGUCGCAUGAUGGGUCUGGGAAAGAUAUUGUUUCGGUGGGGGAUGGGCUCGCGGCCUAUCAGCUUGUUGGUGGGGUGAUGGCCUACCAAGGCGGUGACGGGUAGCCGGCCUGAGAGGGUGGACGGUCACACUGGGACUGAGACACGGCCAAGACUCCUACGGGAGGCAGCAGUGGGGAAUAUUGCACAAUGGGCGCAAGCCUGAUGCAGCGACGCCGCGUGAGGGAUGGAGGCCUUCGGGUUGUGAACCUCUUUCGCCAGUGAAGCAGGCCUGCCUCGUUUGUGGGUGGGUUGACGGUAGCUGGAUAAGAAGCGCCGGCUAACUACGUG
rnacentral:rRNA from 1 species